UUUCAAUCACAUAAAUUGUCCGAAGCGGACUUAAUUUUCCUCACAACGAACACUUUUUCGAAAAAAUACAAAAAUUACAUUAUAUUUUUCCGUUGUUGUGGCUUUUUAAAUUAUUAUUCGUCAUCUUGGCUCAAAAAUGUGUUUCGCGUAAUUUAUUUAUUUUUUACCGUUACGUCAUUUAUAUCAUUUAUGAUUUAUCUGAAAACUCUCACGAUGGGACAAUCUCUCGGCACAAUCACCCUAAAAAGCUUAUUUCUCGUUAAUUUGUUCACCGUCUUAGCGAGCAUCGCUCAAACUGAAUUUUGUGAAAAACAAGCGAAAAAUCUCAUCGGUAAAUUUGACGAAAUUGAUUUUGUGAUUCAAACUAAGCUUUUGAUGAAAAUUAAUUUCGCAAAAGAUCUCAAAUUCACUCGAAAUACAGUUCUUGUUGCAUUUUACAUUUUUCUCGUGGUCUCAGUCAUCGUUCUGGCACAAGCUUAUCCUUCGUCCGGGAAUUAUCACGUCGUUGUUUUGAGAAAAAUUGCAGGAACUUUAAUUUUUGUGCGAUGUUUGCAAUUGUGCUUUUUCCUGCAAAUUAUAAACUUCAGAAUUUUGAUCGUUAAUGAAGCGAUUAAAAAAAUGACGAUGAAUCCAAAUACAGAAAUCAUGAAAAUCGCUAAAAAUAUUCAAGAAAAAAUUUGGAAGUGUUGCCAGUUGAUAAAUUCUUGCUUUGGAUGGUCCACUUUAGUUAUUGUGUCAGCAUUUUUUAUCGAUUUUGCGUUAUACGGAUAUUUUUUGGUUUUGUACAUGAUGACUGGUACGGCAAGGAUCACUUAUGGAGAGAUUUUUGGAAAUGCAUGUCCCAAGUUAAUUGCUCUUGUGAUAAUAUGUAACGCGAUAUCGAAUUGUCAGGAAAAUAUGUCGAACAUGGCAAGAUUAAUUCACAAAUUAGACAGACGAAUAUCUGAAAAAAAUACUUCAAAAAUUUUGAGGGAAUUAUCGAUGCAAAUUUAUCAGGAACCCUUGAGAUUUUCUUUAAGUGGAUUUUUUGAUAUUGAUUAUGAAUUUCUUGGAUCUAUGUUUAUUGGAGUAGCUACUUAUCUGGUAAUCAUGGUACAAUUUCAACAAGAGGAAGGAAUUUAAUGAAUUAAAAAAUACAAUAUUCUUAAGUCACAAAUCCUUUUAAAAAAAAAUAAAAUUAUGGCAUUAUUUUAAAAAAUUUUUUUUAGUUUAAUACUACUUCUCAUCUAUUCUUUUAAUUUCAUCACUUCAUUUAUUUUUAAAUUUUAGUUUUUUUUUUGCAUAGUUGACACUAAAUGUCUUUAGUCACU